GGACAUCUUGCAAGCCAGCAAAAUAGAAAAACAGCAUCCAUAAACACAAGAUGGAAGCAGAGCAAAACAGUACAUAGAUGUAUCCCUUAUGGUAUAAAGAAUGAAUUUUCUGCAGAUGAAUUAUGUCAUGGUGGAGACAUUAUCAGAUGCAUGUUUUGGGGUUUGCGGAACUUUUGCUAGAAGGGUUGCAAAGUGACCCUCACCAUGCUAGCAUGUUCGGAUGUCUGUUAACUGACUACUUUUAAGAAAGUUUUGCUGGGACUGCUGCUCUUCGAUUGAG